GACAGAGGUGCCGAGCGUUAGGCGGAAUCACUGGGCUUAAAGCGUGUGUAGGCGGACUUCUAAGUGCCUUGUGAAAUCCCACGGCUCAACCGUGGAACUGCUGGGCAUACUGGUUGUCUUGGGCCAUCUAGGGGCUACUGGAACAAAGCGGUGGAGCGGUGAAAUGCGUAGAUAUCGUUUGGAACCGCCAAUGGUGAAAACAAGUAGCUGGGAUGUGCCGACGCUGAGACACGAAAGCCAGGGGAGCGAACGGG
rnacentral:rRNA from 1 species